UACGGAGGGUGCAAGCGUUAUCCGGAUUCACUGGGUUUAAAGGGUGCGUAGGUGGGUCUGUAAGUCAGUGGUGAAAUCCCCGAGCUUAACUUGGGAACUGCCGUUGAUACUAUAGAUCUUGAAUAUCGUGGAGGUAAGCGGAAUAUGUCAUGUAGCGGUGAAAUGCUUAGAUAUGACAUAGAACACCAAUUGCGAAGGCAGCUUACUACACGAUUAUUGACACUGAGGCACGAAAGCGUGGGGAGCAAACAGG
rnacentral:rRNA from 1 species